rnacentral:rRNA from 1 species
GACGAACGCUGGCGGCGUGCUUAACACAUGCAAGUCGAACGCUGAAGCUCAGCUUUUGUUGGGUGGAUGAGUGGCGAACGGGUGAGUAACACGUGAGUAACCUGCCCCCUUCUUUGGGAUAACGCCCGGAAACGGGUGCUAAUACUGGAUAUUCACUGGUCUUCGCAUGGGGGUUGGUGGAAAGGGUUUUUCUGGUGGGGGAUGGGCUCGCGGCCUAUCAGCUUGUUGGUGGGGUGAUGGCCUACCAAGGCUUUGACGGGUAGCCGGCCUGAGAGGGUGACCGGUCACAUUGGGACUGAGAUACGGCCCAGACUCAUACGGGAGGCAGCAGUGGGGAAUAUUGCACAAUGGGCGCAAGCCUGAUGCAGCGACGCCGCGUGAGGGAUGGAGGCCUUCGGGUUGUGAACCUCUUUCGCUCAUGGUCAAGCCGCAACAAUGGUUGUGGUGAGGGUAGUGGGUAAAGAAGCGCCGGCUAACUACGUG